AUAUCAAUAAGCGGAGGAAAAGAAACCAACAGGGAUUGCCUCAGUAACGGCGAGUGAAGCGGCAACAGCUCAAAUUUGAAAUCUGGCUCCUUGGGGGGUCCGAGUUGUAAUUUGUAGAGGAUGCUUCGGGCAAGGCUGCGGUCUAAUUUGCUUGGAACAGCGAGUCACAGAGGGUGAGAGUCCCGUCUAGGACCGUGCGCCGCGUCCAGGUGAAGCUCCUUCGACGAGUCGAGUUGUUUGGGAAUGCAGCUCUAAAUGGGUGGUAAAUUUCAUCUAAAGCUAAAUAUUGGCCAGAGACCGAUAGCGCACAAGUAGAGUGAUCGAAAGAUGAAAAGCACUUUGAAAAGAGAGUUAAACAGUAUGUGAAAUUGUUGAAAGGGAAGCGCUUGCAACCAGACUUGCGUGUGACGGUUCCCCCCACCUUCUGGCGGGGCUACUCCGUCAUCUCCAGGCCAGCAUCGGUUCGGGUGGUCGGUCAAAGACUCCGGGAAUGUAUCUACCUCCGGGUCGACUUAUAGCCCGGGGUGCAAUGCGGCCCACCCGGACCGAGGAACGCGCUUCGGCCCGGAUGCUGGCGUAAUGGUUGUAAGCGGCCCGUCUUGAAACACGGACCAAGGAGUCUAACAUCUAUGCGAGUGUUUGGGUGUUAAACCCCUACGCGGAAUGAAAGUGAACGGAGGUAAGAACCCCGUCCGGGGCGCAUUAUCGACCGAUCCUGAUGUUUUCGGAUGGAUUUGAGUAAGAGCAUAGCUGUUGGGACCCGAAAGAUGGUGAACUAUGCCUGAAUAGGGUGAAGCCAGAGGAAACUCUGGUGGAGGCUCGCAGCGGUUCUGACGUGCAAAUCGAUCGUCAAAUUUGGGCAUAGGGGCGAAAGACCAAUCGAACCAUCUGGUAGCUGGUUCCUGUCGAAGUUUCCCUCAGGAUAGCAGUAACGUUUUCAGUUUUAUGAGGUAAAGCGAAUGAUUAGAGGCCUUGGGGUUGAAACAACCUUAACCUAUUCUCAAACUUUAAAUAUGUAAGAAGUCCUUGUUGCUUAAUUGAACGUGGACAUUUGAAUGUAUCGUUACUAGUGGGCCAUUUUUGGUAAGCAGAACUGGCGAUGCGGGAUGAACCGAACGUGAGGUUAAGGUGCCGGAAUGUACGCUCAUCAGACACCACAAAAGGUGUCAAUGCAUCCAGACAGCCGGACGGUGGCCAUGGAAGUCGGAAUCCGCUUAGGAGUGUGUAACAACUCACCGGCCGAAUGCAUUGGCCCUGAAAAUGGAUGGCGCUUAAGCGUGCUACCUAUACCUCGCCGUUGGGGUUGAAAUGAUGCCCCAACGAGUAGGCAGGNGUGGGG
rnacentral:rRNA from 1 species